UACGGAGGAUCCGAGCGUUAUCCGGAAUUAUUGGGUUUAAAGGGUGCGUAGGCGGCCAUUUAAGUCAGCGGUGAAAUUUUGCAGCUUAACUGUAACAGUGCCGUUGAUACUGUUUGGCUAGGAUUUGGCUGUAGUGUGCGGAAUGUGUGGUGUAGCGGUGAAAUGCUUAGAUAUCACACAGAACACCGAUUGCGAAGGCAGCACACUAAGUCAUUAUUGACGCUGAGGCACGAAAGUGUGGGGAUCAAACAGGAUUA
rnacentral:rRNA from 1 species